UACGAAGGGGGCUAGCGUUGUUCGGAUUUACUGGGCGUAAAGCGCGUGUAGGCGGACUUGUAAGUUGGGGUGAAAUCCCGAGGCUCAACCUCGGAACUGCCUCCAAAACUACAAGUCUGGAGCAAGAUAGAGGCAAGUGGAAUUGCGAGUGUAGAGGUGAAAUUCGUAGAUAUUAGGAAGAACACCGGUGGCGAAGGCGGCCCACUGGCUCGAUACUGACGCUGAGGUGCGAAAGCGUGGGGAGCA
rnacentral:rRNA from 1 species